AGGGGUCGGCUACUGUUUUAGGUUAGAGAUCGACAUAUCGUAUUAAGGUUUAAAGAGAUUUUGUUAUAUCACUGGGAUGAGAAUUUUACAAUAUAUAAAGAGAUUAGACAAGGGAACUAGAAACUAACUGAAACAACCCGACCAUUUUUUUUUAAAAACAUAAUUAAAUAUUUUCAUAAAUAUUUAAUUAAGCCAACCAAUAAAGCAACAAUUAAACCGCAAAUCAAAAAUACUAUUUUAUGAAUAAAUAAAUAAUUCAACCAACAAAACCAAAAAUGACUAACAAUCCUAACACAACCCUAAUCGGUUCUAAUAACCAAAACACUAAAAUAAACCAAAUGAGUUUCUAGAUCAUGAUUUCACGAUCACACUUUAUCUUUAUCUGCACCAAAAAGAAAGAGAUGCGUAAGUAUUAUCACAAAUACUUAGUGAGGCGAUCCUCUCAUCUACGAGCUAUACACACAAGCAAAAAAAAGGGGUAUAAUCACAAAUACAACAUAAACAAACCAGUCAUUGAACAAUUCACCCAAAAACACAUUCACUGCACCUACAUAUCAUCACACAAAACAAAUCAUACAAUCCAAUCGCUCAGAUAAGCUCAUGGUCACGCACUCACCUUAACAAAUUGAUUCUAACAACAAUUAAACCCGGGAGAGACUCUCCUUGCGUCUGAAACAGUCCAAAAACGUCCUACAACAAGUCACAACCAAAAGCAACCUUGAAGCAAACUGGACAUGAAAAACAGAAACAAACAGUCUCAAAGACGAAACCCUAAAAAUACAAACCAACUGUUAACUAUCAUAUCCCUCCGGUGAAACGCUAGCCUUAGACGUCACAAAAUUUCGUGCCGAUCGGAAACCAGACGAAACCACGAUUUCAGUUACAAUCCCCGCUUGUCCUAAUUCGCGUCUGAGAAAACGUGUCUCACGAAACUGCAAAUAACUCAACGAAUAUAAAUCCGAAUCCAAUUCUGUAAUAUGGAGAAUGACGAUAAAAGACUUGGUAAUAACUCUACCAAAUUUCGUUACCUUUGACAACGAUUUGAUAUAUCAAAACCGUUUCCUCCCAAACCCUAACGAUUAUGGUUCUUCUCCUUCUCUCUCUUUUUCUCUUUUAUAAAACGAAAAAGGGCUAAGUAAAGCCCUAAUUUCGAGUUUCAUUCUUUUAUAGGCACACUCUAGGCUUUCCAAUUAACUCAACUGAUUAAACCGGACGAUUUAAAUACAAACCCUAACCGAUUUUCCGGUUCACGAGCGUUACAAUUCUCUCCCACUAACAUAGAUUCGUCCUCGAAUCUAGCUUCUCCCUUCCACUCCGAGGAACUCCGUGCAACCAUCACUACGGUCCGCACUCCCUCCAACCCGACCCCUCUAGGUCUCUCUAUCCAGUCGUUAUACUCACGAUUUACUAGUCAUUGUUGCUUACAACUCACUCUCCACUCUCAGACCGCAAUCUUCGAGCAUAAACCGUCACUCUCAGGCCUCGGCCUACGGUAUCUUGGAUAUCACACGUAUUAUCUUCCCCACUCAAAGUCAAACCCUGAUUUGUGUCGGCUCACUCUCAGCCACAAAGUCAUCGAGUUACGAUACUUGGAGAAAAUAGUACCUCAAAACUCGCUCUCGGAUCGUCACCCGAAGCCACCGUUCCCCUCGCACUCUAAAGACACCAAGUCCCUCAAGUUACUGGUACCUCAGGA
rnacentral:sRNA from 1 species